GGUUCCGUGGUGUAGUGGUUAUCACAUCUGUCUAACACACAGAAGGUCCCCGGAUCGAUUCCGGGCGGAAUCA